rnacentral:rRNA from 1 species
GUGCCAGCAGCCGCGGUAAUACAGAGGGUGCAAGCGUUGUUCGGAAUUAUUGGGCGUAAAGCGCGUGUAGGCGGCUAUGUAAGUUGGGUGUGAAAGCCCUCGGCUUAACCGAGGAAGUGCGCCCAAAACUGCAUUGGCUUGAGUACCGGAGAGGGUGGCGGAAUUCCCGGUGUAGAGGUGAAAUUCGUAGAUAUCGGGAGGAACACCAGCGGCGAAGGCGGCCACCUGGACGGAUACUGACGCUGAGACGCGAAAGCGUGGGGAGCAAACAGGAUUAGAUACCCUAGUAGUCC